rnacentral:rRNA from 6 species
GAACUUUCCAGAGAUGGAUUGGUGCCUUCGGGAACUGUGAGACAGGUGCUGCAUGGCUGUCGUCAGCUCGUGUUGUGAAAUGUUGGGUUAAGUCCCGCAACGAGCGCAACCCUUAUCCUUUGUUGCCAGCGGUCCGGCCGGGAACUCAAAGGAGACUGCCAGUGAUAAACUGGAGGAAGGUGGGGAUGACGUCAAGUCAUCAUGGCCCUUACGACCAGGGCUACACACGUGCUACAAUGGCGCAUACAAAGAGAAGCGACCUCGCGAGAGCAAGCGGACCUCAUAAAGUGCGUCGUAGUCCGGAUUGGAGUCUGCAACUCGACUCCAUGAAGUCGGAAUCGCUAGUAAUCGUGGAUCAGAAUGCCACGGUGAAUACGUUCCCGGGCCUUGUACACACCGCCCGUCACACCAUGGGAGUGGGUUGCAAAAGAAGUAGGUAGCUUAACCUUCGGGAGGGCGCUUACCACUUUGUGAUUCAUGACUGGGGUGAAGUCGUAACAAGGUAACCGUAGGGGAACCUGCGGUUGGA